UGGGGAAUAUUGGGCAAUGGGCGAAAGCCUGACCCAGCAACGCCGCGUGAAGGAAGAAGGUUUUCGGAUUGUAAACUUCUUUUAUCAGGGACGAAGAAAGUGACGGUACCUGAUGAAUAAGCCACGGCUAACUACGUGCCAGCAGCCGCGGUAAUACGUAGGUGGCAAGCGUUAUCCGGAUUUACUGGGUGUAAAGGGCGUGUAGCCGGGAGGGCAAGUCAGAUGUGAAAUCCACGGGCUUAACUCGUGAACUGCAUUUGAAACUGUUCUUCUUGAGUAUCGGAGAGGCAAUCGGAAUUCCUAGUGUAGCGGUGAAAUGCGUAGAUAUUAGGAGGAACACCAGUGGCGAAGGCGGAUUGCUGGACGACAACUGACGGUGAGGCGCGAAAGCGUGGGGAGCAAACAGGAUUAGAUACCCUGGUAGU
rnacentral:rRNA from 1 species